rnacentral:rRNA from 1 species
CCCUUAGAUGUUCUGGGCCGCACGCGCGCUACACUGAUGCAUUCAACGAGCUCUUCCUGGUCCGAGAGGAAUGGGUAACCUUUUGAAAGUGCAUCGUGCUAGGGAUAGACUAUUGCAAUUAUUGGUCUUCAACGAGGAAUUCCUAGUAGACGUAGUUCAUCAGACUGCAUCGAUUACGUCCCUGCCCUUUGUACACACCGCCCGUCGCUCCUACCGAUUGGAUGAUCCGGUGAGCUAUUCGGACCUGUGCAUUUUCCAUUGGAACUUGCGUGGGAAAGUCUCGCGAACCUUAUCAUCUAGAGGAAGGAGAAGUCGUAACA